rnacentral:rRNA from 1 species
UACGGAGGAUGCGAGCGUUAUCCGGAUUUAUUGGGUUUAAAGGGUGCGUAGGCGGGAUGCCAAGUCAGCGGUAAAAAUGCGGUGCUCAACGCCGUCGAGCCGUUGAAACUGGCGUUCUUGAGUGGGCGAGGAGUAUGCGGAAUGCGUGGUGCAGCGGUGAAAUGCAUAGAUAUCACGCAGAACUCCGAUUGCGAAGGCAGCAUACCGGCGCCCUACUGACGCUGAGGCACGAAAGCGUGGGUAUCGAACAGG